rnacentral:rRNA from 1 species
UAUACUGUGAACUGCGAAUGGCUCAUUAAAUCAGUUAUAAUUUAUUUGAUGGUACCUUACUACUC